rnacentral:rRNA from 1 species
UAAGCGGAACGUGAAAUCCAAGGGCUCAACCCUUGAACUGCAUUUCGAACUAUUAGACUUGAGUAUGUGAGAGGAAAUUGGAAUUCCUAGUGUAGGAGUGAAAUCCGUAGAUAUUAGGAGGAACACCAAUGGCGAAGGCAGAUUUCUGGCAUAUUACUGACGCUGAGGCACGAAAGCGUGGGGAGCGAACGGGAUUAGAUACCCCCGGUAGUCCACGCCGUAAACGAUGGAUACUA